GACGAACCGUCCAAACGUUGUUCGGAAUCACUGGGCUUAAAGGGCGCGUAGGCGGGUCAGCAAGUCCGGGGUGAAAUCUUUCGGCUUAACCGGAAAAGUGCCUUGGAGACUGCUGGUCUAGAGGGAGGUAGGGGCAUGUGGAACUUCUGGUGGAGCGGUGAAAUGCGUUGAUAUCAGAAGGAACGCCGGUGGCGAAAGCGACGUGCUGGAUCUCUUCUGACGCUGAGGCGCGAAAGCCAGGGGAGCAAACGGG
rnacentral:rRNA from 1 species